GCUGACCCAGAUAAAUGGACAUACGUAGCACUUUCACAAAGACGCACCAUUUUCGGCUUCUACGUCCAUUCUGAGACCAAAAUGCCCCACAAAAACAUAGUGAAGAAAACUAGGCAUGUACACCUACAAUUCUAGAUCCGUAGAACCCGUCAAAAUGCUGAAAAUGGGUGAUUGUGUCGGCACAAUUGUCAAGGGUUCUUCCGCUUCAGACAGCCUCUCUCUCUCUCUCUCUCUUUCUGUCACAUCAGGCCUGCUUGCACCCUUUAUAUCAUCGCUCAUUGGGAACUACUUUCACGGAAUUAUAAGCCGAUAAGAUCAUCUAAAUGCAUCGCAGAUAUCACCUCAUAAUACUGCUACUUAGAUUUCCCUGCAAACCGCUCCUUGAGGUUAAAAUUUGGCCAGAACUGGACGGAAUUGCAGGCGAUUGUCGAAGAUCAAUUUUCCGGUUCCCUGCGAUACCCCCUUUGACGAACCCGGAUCAAUCCGCGGCCCUUAUUAUCAUAUCCUUUGGGCCAACAUGGCACAUUCCUGUCAAAUUAUGCUCCUCGAAAUCCCCCCUUUUUAAAAAUCAUCGAUCGGGCUCAUCAUUUCCUCUAUUUUAGAGAGAAAUGUAACUUUUUCUGGUACCUACCAUCGAACUUGACGAACAUCAGAGAUGGUACAAAACGCGCAAAGCCUGCUGGGAUGAGGAACCUUUGCCUAAAACUCAUUUCUGUACCUAAAACAAAUAAAUUAAAUUUCUUUUAAAAAGAAAAGCUUAAAAUUCAUUAAUUAUAGAAAAAGAAAAAGAUUUUGAUAUCAUUUUGAUGUAAUAAUUGCGUGCAGAAGUCUCGACGUUUCUCGCGCAUGACGUGAGAUGGCAACCAGUAUGGCGUCCUUAGUGAGAGAUGGAGUGCUGCUGGAGAUAGCAGACCAAGCUCCCGCGCCUUCCAAGGACUACUGCCAGCUCCUUAUCACCACUAAGGAGGUUGUCUGGCGCUGGUGGAGGAUCACUCUGAGGAAGGGGGAUGAGCGCAGGUGUUUCCCAGGGGAGACCAGAGAAUCACACGAUGACUUCCUGAAUGACGAAGUGAUCCAAGGGGAUGUGCGGAGGGUGUUCGGAGAGCCUACGCUGGAACAUGCCCUGGGGUUGUGCCGCGGGCACGUUGAUUUCAUCACACGUGUGCCGAAGCCCAUGCUGAUCUUCCUGGUGUCGUACCUGGAGCUGGAGGACAUCUCUCAGCUGGCACAGACCAACAAGCUGUUCAGAGAGGUAAGACAUGUGUCAAUCAAAUCAGGCACAGACCAACAAGCUGUUCAGAGAGGUGAGACAUGUGUCAAUCAAAUCAGGCACAGACCAACAAGCUGUUCAGAGAGAUCUGUAACUCGGACGAGCUGUGGGAGCACGUGUACGAGCGCCACUGUGAGAACGUGACAGAGGAGAUGCGAGACCUGGCUAAAGAUGUGGGCUGGAAGAGUAUGUUCUUCACUAACAAGCUGCAGCUGCAGGUGCAGCUGCGCAGACAGAGGGGCCGCAGGGAGGAUGCAGGUGACAGCCCCACUCCUGUCCACUAGCGAAAACAUUCCUAACUGCAGGCUCACAAUCAUUCCAAUACACUAAGAUGUUAUCAUUUGUAAAGUCAUGUUAUGCAAUGGGGAUAAACAUCUUUAAAUGUUCUCCAACUUUCUAUGAUUUUGGAUGUUGUACAGUUUUGUUACGAAAGUGUUGGAGUCAGAGUAGUACUGUACAUGUAUGUGUUCAUGGAUGUUUAGCUCUUUGAAAGUUCCAGUGAGGAAUUUGUCUUAUUAAAUACAGGUGCCACAUGUUAACUUUCUAGUGUUCUACAUGUUCGUAGUAAUUUGUAUUUACAAACUACCAAAAUUGGUGUCCAGUACAAGUACAGCUCUAUAGCACUAGUAAGGGUAACGAAAAAUUACAAACAAAAGGAUUGAGGAAUUUGAUGGAGCUCCUGGUUUCUAGCAAGGGUUUUAGAUAAUGUUUCAUAAUGGUAAAUUCAAGGUUGAGCUAGAACUGACCUAUCGGCAAUGGUUUGGAAUGGAGGUCUUGGCAGUUUAACAGUGAGAUUUUGAAAAUGCAGACAAUCAGUGGGCACCAAUGGGGGGAUGAAUUCUUUUCAGACCAUAUGUAAAAUUAGAAUUUUUUCUCAGUUUGGAAGGUCAUACCAACAAUUCUCACAUUUUAUCUAACAUUAGUACCAUUCCACGUUGAAAAUAAGUGUAAUGGUCUUCAAUUUACCAUGGUGGUAACGAAUAAUAGCAUGAUGGCCUGUUAAUGCUAAAAUGCACUAGCUAAAACCCUGAGCUCUGUCUCUUUAUGACCUUUCGAAUUUGUACUUGGUUUUUCAAUGGUGAAUUAGCAAAUGUCUAGCUUUGUUACAUAAACUGCAGAAGCAAAAGAGAAUAUACAAGAACAAUAGUUAAUGUUGUGUAAUGACUAAUAAAUGUGUUGGGUGCAGCUAUUACUAACAGUAUGUUUUGAUGCAAACAGUUUAACUUCAUGAUCUACUCAGAACUGAAUGUGGAAGUAAUUUUUUUGCCUUUUUCGUUCAGAUUGAUAAAACCUAAAAUUGUACAGUUUUUUCCUUGCUGCUUUUAUUUUUAAUAUGUUAGUGUUUUGUGCAGUUUUGUUGAAAUGACCUUUGUGCUAUGACUAUAUGAUUGGAUGUAUUGUAUAUUAUACUGUUUUUCUUAGCGAAAUUGUAUGUUGACCACAAUCAGUUAGCAUCAAUAUGCUCAGAUUUCUAUUAAGCAAGCAAGGCAACCAUUUUCUUUUUGAUUCAGUGAAAACUUUACAAGAGGUAACUGAAACAAUGCAUUUUAUUUCAUACAUAAUAGAACUCUAUGAAUUCAAAAUUAUGUUAUUCGGUGUAAAAAGAUGUGUGAAUAUCAAUUGUAUUACACUUAAUGACUGUGAAAACAAUAAUAUGGACCAAAGCAUACCAACAAUGGCCUUACCAGAAUAUUUUAUGGUAUUAUAUGCAGUAAUUCAAACAAAUUCUCCAAGAAGUGCAGUCUGUUAGGUUAAGAACUAGAUAAACUUGAACAUUUCUUGUUCAUUCUCUUGUAUUUUUCUAUGUACAAUGAUGAUGUUGUUAAACAGUUUUGGUGAUGUUUAUAAUUGUGUGAUGAGUACAUAUAAAUAUACCAGAAUGUGGUGCCUUCA